rnacentral:sRNA from 1 species
AUUGAAAAUAUGAGAUUUCCAUGGGAUAUUGCACAAAAGCUAAAUUGCAAUUCAUAAGAUUAAUAAAAAUCUUUAUGUACAAUGUAUCACACCAUUUCUGUCAGUUUUAAAAUAUUAGUU